AUAGGAGCUGACGCCGGCCCGGUGCUGGAAGGUGAAGGGGAUCUGUUAGAGCAAGCGAAGCAGUGAACUUAAGCCCCAGUAACCGACGGCCGUAACAAUAACGGGCCUAAGGUAACGAAAAGCCAGGUCGAGUAAGUUGCGACCCGAACGAAAGGCGUAACGAUUUGGGCACUGUAUCAACAACAGACUCGGUGAAAUUGUAAUGCCGGUGAAGAUGCCGGAUACCUGCGACAGGACGGAAAGACCACAUGGAGCUUUACUGUAGCUUGACAUUGGGUCUUGGUACUACAUGUACAGGAUCGGUGGGGGGCUUUGAAACCAGGCGGCCAGUUUUGGGGGAGCCAUCCUUGGGAUACCACGAUUGUAGUACUGGGACUCUAACCCUGGACCAUGACUCUGGUGUAGGGACCCUGUCAGGGGGGCAGUUUGACUGGGGCGGUCGCC
rnacentral:rRNA from 1 species